rnacentral:rRNA from 1 species
GACGAACGCUGGCGGCGUGCUUAACACAUGCAAGUCGAACGGAAAGGCCCUGCUUUUGUGGGGUGCUCGAGUGGCGAACGGGUGAGUAACACGUGAGUAACCUGCCCUUGACUUUGGGAUAACUUCAGGAAACUGGGGCUAAUACCGGAUAGGAGCUCCUGCUGCAUGGAGGGGGUUGGAAAGUUUCGGCGGUUGGGGAUGGACUCGCGGCUUAUCAGCUUGUUGGUGGGGUAGUGGCUUACCAAGGCUUUGACGGGUAGCCGGCCUGAGAGGGUGACCGGCCACAUUGGGACUGAGAUACGGCCCAGACUCCUACGGGGGGCAGCAGUGGGGAAUAUUGCACAAUGGGCGGAAGCCUGAUGCAGCAACGCCGCGUGCGGGAUGACGGCCUUCGGGUUGUAAACCGCUUUCGCCUGUGACGAAGCGUGAGUGACGGUAAUGAGUAAAGAAGCACCGGCUAACUACGUG